rnacentral:tRNA from 1 species
GGAAAGGAGAGGGAUUCG